CGGAGAUCUCGCAGGGGCAGCUGGAGGCCGAGCAGGUUGUGCGGCGUGGGGCCGACACGGGCGCGGGCCGCCGCGCCGGAAGUGGCCGGGCGGCCGGGGAAGCACCGCCUGCGCCCCCGAGCUUGCAGCCCGCGGGAAGGCUCUCUGCUCCUGGGCCGGGUGGGGGCUGCUGGGAGCAGGCAGCACCGGCUUCGCCGCGGCCCCAGGCCCGCACGGAGACACUGCACGGGGCCAAGCGGGGUCCGGGACUCGGACCGGGUGGAGAGGAGGACGUGAGGGGGCCGCGAAGGCCGGGCGGCGAGCUCGGAGGCCCCACGACCUGGGCCUCGUCCCCGCACCCACAUGGCCUCCGGAGGGGGCGCGGCCUUGGAGGAGCUGCCGCACGAUGGCACGUGUGAUCAGUGCGAGCCCGACGAGGCUCCCGGGGCCGAGGAAGUGUGCAGAGAAUGCGGCUUCUGCUACUGCCGCCGCCACGCAGAGGCGCACAGGCAGAAGUUCCCUGGGCACCACCUGGCCGAGUAUGUCCACGGUGCCCAGGCCUGGACCUCCCGAGUCCAGGAGGAAGGCCAGGGGAAGGAAGGCGUGGAGGCCGAGGUGGGGAAUGAGAGAGAUGUAGGGAUCGAGGCGGGGGAGCAGAGUGAGGAGUCCGAGGAGGACAGUGAGUCCGAAGAAGAGAGCGAGACCGAGGAAGAGAGUGAGGAGGAGAGUGAGGAGAGUGAAGAAGACAGUGAGGAAGAAAUGGAGGAUGAGCAAGAGAGCGAGGUGGAGGAAGACAACCAUGAAGAUGGAGAAUCUGAGGCUGAGGGAGAAACUGAGGCAGAAAGUGAAUUUGACCCAGAAAUAGAAAUGGAAGCAGAGAGAGUGGCCAAGAGGAAGUGUCCAGACCAUGGGCUUGAUUUGAGCACCUAUUGCCAGGAAGAUAAACAGCUCAUUUGUGUCCUGUGUCCAGUCAUUGGGGCUCACCAGGGCCACCAACUUUCCACCUUAGAUGAAGCCUUCGAAGAGCUAAGAAGCAAAGACUCUGGCGGAUUGAAGGCGGCGAUGAUAGAGUUGGUGGAAAGGUUGAAGUUCAAGAGCUCAGACCCUAAAGUAACUCGGGACCAGAUGAAGGUUUUUAUACAGCAGGAAUUUAAGAAAGUUCAGAAAGUGAUUGCUGAUGAGGAACAGAAGGCCCUUCAUCUAGUGGACAUCCAGGAAGCAAUGGCCACAGCUCAUGUGACUGAGAUACUGGCAGACAUCCAAUCCCACAUGGACAGGUUGAUGACUCAGAUGGCCCAAGCCAAGGAACAACAUGAUACCUCUAAUGAAGCAGCUGAGCCAAAGGCAGAGGGCGACGAGGAAGGACCCAGUGUCCUCUGAGGGUCAGCAGCGAAAGAGGUGCUUUUAGACUUCCUGAGGAGCAGCUGACCAAACCUUCAUUGGGCCCCCAGAAUAGCUGCCUGUUGCCCUCCCGUCUGGUACUGUGCCAGUGAAGAAGAGGACACAUGAAGGCUUGCCACCCCCAGUGGAAAACCAUUCCUUCCCCUCGUGUGUAUGUGACAGCGUGUACGUAACAGCUUCUGAUUCCUGUGAAAGGUGCCCGGCAACAAACGUCCUUCCGCCGGAUACGCCCCCCGAUCCACAGCAGGCGCAUGUCUUUCCAAGGGAUGACCAGUUUCAUGCUUGCUGACUGACUGUGUGCUUCUCAUCCUUUCAUGUGGUAGGUCUAGAAAAAGCGCCCCUUGGAUCAGCCAGGAGCAGUUAAGAAGGGCCAUUGAGGUCAUUCCUCUUGGCUGCUUUGAACUUACUCAGGAAAGCCCACCCCUGGAAUAUUAGGUACCCAAACAGCAUGUCCUCAUUAAGAAGGAUCUGGAAUAAUCUUGAAGGGCAGUCGGAAUAUUUUCCCUAUGUGCUAAUAAAACCCCGCUUUAUUCAUAUCGAAGCAUGAAAGAAAGGAGGGCCGAGUGAGGCCGAGCACACACAGGUAGUCUCCAGAACUCCGAGUGCACCUGCGUGAAAAUGCGGUUUCGUGGAAUAAGACGGAUGACUUGGAAACAGAGUUGGAGAGUUAAAAUUUAGAAACUUAUAGAGAUAUUUUUAGCACACGAGGUCACGCAAGACUUUGGAUUCAUAAUUCAGUACUGUGGAAAUGAAAAAAAAAGAUUGAAGAGCUAGAAAGGAAAUGACAUAAAAAAAAAAAAAGAGGACCAAAGAGAUCUGAUUAAAAGUUGAAAUCAGUGUUUCUGCACUCAAAUUGCCUAAGCUUCCAAAAUAGUCACUAAAGGAUCUGAUGAAACCUGAAUUAUCUGGGUGAAUUCUGCAGGUUUUCUGAAUCUAUUCACAUGAAAGGCUGGAAUGUAUAUUACCAAAUGGGAAUUUUUGAUGGGAGU